rnacentral:rRNA from 1 species
AAGACCUUGCACUUUUGGAGCGGCCGAUGUCUGAUUAGCUAGUUGGUGGGGUAAUGGCCUACCAAAGCUUCGAUCAGUAGCUGGUCUGAGAGGACGGCCAGCCACACUGGGACUGAGACACGGCCCAGACUCCUACGGGAGGCAGCAGUGGGGAAUUUUGGACAAUGGGCGCAAGCCUGAUCCAGCCAUGCCGCGUGAGUGAAGAAGGCCUUCGGGUUGUAAAGCUCUUUCAGCCGGGAAGAAAAGGUUGCGACUAAUAAUCGCAAUUCAUGACGGUACCGAAAGAAGAAGCACCGGCUAACUACGUGCCAGCAGCCGCGGUAAUACGUAGGGUGCGAGCGUUAAUCGGAAUUACUGGGCGUAAAGCGUGCGCAGGUGGUUUUGUAAGUCAGAUGUGAAAUCCCCGGGCUUAACCUGGGAACU